UACAGAGGGUGCAAGCGUUAAUCGGAAUUACUGGGCGUAAAGCGUGCGUAGACGGUUUCGUAAGUCGGGUGUGAAAGCCCCGGGCUCAACCUGGGAAUUGCAUUCGAGACUGCGGAGCUAGGGUGCGGAAGAGGGAAGCGGAAUUUCCGGUGUAGCGGUGAAAUCCGUAGAUAUUCGGAAGAACACCAGUGGCGAAGGCGACUUACUGGACACAUAUUGACGCUGAGGUGCGAAAGCGUGGGGAGCAAACAGG
rnacentral:rRNA from 1 species